GCCUGGGUGGUUUAGUCGGUUGAGCGUCCGACUUCAGCUCAGGUAGUGAUCCUACGGUUUGUGGGUUCGAGCCCCGUGUCAGGCU
rnacentral:tRNA from 1 species